ACAGAGUCUCAUGUAGCCCAGCUUGGCCACAGAGUCACUAUGCAGCAGGAACAUGGCCUUGAACUUCUGGUGUUCCUGCCUGUGAGGAUCAGCGGAGAAGGAGCCAGGUGACCUUGCACUUGAGCACAGAAUGGAAUGAAGUCGAGUCUCAGCUGUGAGCUCAGCGAUGAGGGAAGAGCAGAUAUUCUCUGGCUGAAGCCAAUGUGAACGCAGAAAACAGAACGGAGUGAAUGGAAAGCCAAUGGUGCAGGAGCAGGAGGGAGACGCGGCUGGAUCCACCCCACCCCCACCCCCACCCCCGCCCAGGGGAAUUCGGAGCCGGAAAGUCAGCAAGGUGUAUCUCCUGUUCUGCUGGGCCUCACAAGGACGCGGAGAAAGGGGAGUACUGGAUGGAUGACAAAUGUCCCAUCCUGGAUGAGGUCUGGGACCGUGAGGUCGGGGUGGCGGAGGGGGACUUGGUGCCAAGACACGGGUGCUACCUCUCAUUUUUCUAGCAACACUCCAAGAUAAACGGCAUCAUCCUUCGCUGCCGAUGAGGAAACCUGACUUCAGAGAAGCAACUCAAAGGCAGCAGCUGUUUAUGUGUUGCCAAGGGAUCUACACCAGCCCGGGGUUGCUUGCCUCUGAAAUCCUCUUCUCCUUCCCCACACCGGCUCAACUAGGUGAAAAGGGGAAGCCUGGGCAGUCCUAAUUCUAGGUCCUGGAAAGCCACCCCCAGAUGCGGACAGUGCUGUGCAGAGUCUCAGCUUGGUAAAUAUUUGCCCCGUGACUGAGACAGAGAGAAUGCUCCUUUCUUGGUCCUGGGCAGCCUCUUGGCAGUUCACACGCACUGUUUACCUUUUCCUCCCACAUUCCCCCCUGAGGAAUCAUCAUCCCCGCCCCCCCCCCCUUCCUUUCCAUCAGUCUGCUCAACUGAAAACAAGGCAGAGCGGUGUGAAGCCGAGUGCCUGCCAUAUAUAAAACCUGUCUCCAGUCUGUCCCCUGUGGCCUCAGGUAGCCUUCCAAACAGCAAGGAUUCUAGGGAAGAAAAAUAUCUUCACAUCAUUUAGUCAGGUGGACAUAAUGGGAUGGGUGUCUUGGGGGGGGGGGUCUCCCAGCCCCACCCCUGAGGAAAAGGGCGGGGAGGUAUACAGUUACCAAGAGGAAAGUGUCUGGGAUUUCCUGGGGAAGCUGCCAUCUCAGGGACUGAAAGUGAAUCAGUAGGAAGUUCGGGAGCCGGGAGGUUCAGUCCCGCUGGGGCCUCUACUGAGGUGGAACGCUGUUGCUCUGGGGUGAAGCUGUGUCCUGGUUGGUUUGCAGCUCAUGGUGCCAGGGAGAGAGCACAAGACCUCCACCCCCUUCCAGCCACCGACUCCAUGAUGCUAAUGAGCCCUGAUUGUUAAAUGGAGGGCUUUGUCAUCCUGGUGUCUCUACAAAAUCCUAGCAUGGCUCUGUAUUUUCUAACCAAGGCCCUAGGCUUCUUUUUAUAGCACGUCGGUUGGGUAUGACAUGUUCCCCCGGGGGUCAACUUUCUAUUUUAUUGCCACUUUAAGAGUAUCUGAGCAUGUGUUUAGAAUUUACAUCUAAAUAAUAGAUUUCUGGAUGGAAACAGCGUGUAUUAUUACUUACAUUUGGUAAAGUCCCCUUGGAUAAGAAGAACCAGCAUAAUAUUAAUUUUCCUUGCUGUCACUUGACAAUAUGAAUUGGUUUUGUAUAAGAACCAGGAGCUCAUUGGAUUGAAUUUAGGAAACUGGUAAAAACAAAUCUGUCUUCAGUGGGUUUGAAUGAUUACAGCAUAGUAAACACACACAGGCUGAAAGGUUAAUUUAUCAUUGCUUCCAGUUUUAUUUAUUUGAGACUCCUUCAUCAUGGGUAUAAACAGCCUUUAUUAAAGAUUAUGAAUCCAAUUUCCAAAUGAGCUGUAAAUGGCUUUCUAUAGAGAGAUUAUUUGAUUUGUUGUUUUCUUGAAUAAAACAUGGUUUUGCCCCGUGGGUUAUGGAGCCUGUAUAUUAAUAUUGGAAGAUAAUUCUGUUGUGCUUGGCAUCUGUGAUGUGCAAUGUUGGAUUUGUUCUCUGAUCUAUCUGUCUUCACUCUCUUUAAUAAAUGCCGAGACCGAAUGCCUAACCUCUUAAGACCUGCACUCCAGUGAGUCAUAAAAGAAUGUCUGUCUGUAUGGCAGUUUAUCACUGGAAUGAUAAUUCUGGUUCCCUUUAAAAAUGCGAAAGUGUCUGCUCUUCAAAACAGACUGCGGUGAAAGGCUAGAGAGAUGCUGUGGGUCACUGCGGGGAGUCAUAAUUGACCUCCGCCUUUGUCGCAUAGAAACAGGCUGACAGGGCAUUAGCUCAUUGCAUACCGCUGAACUACCAAUAUGCUGCCCUCUGAGGUGAAGGCUGGAGGCAGGACUUUGCCGUUUGCAAUUUAGAAAAUUACCUAGAGCAGACCCUUGAGGGGAGGCAGCCUGCAGGAGAGAAGUCCUAGUACUUCCCCGAGUGCUGCAAUGCACAAAUGCAAAUAUUACAAAGGGAAUUGGUGCCUGGGUGGGGUCUUCAUUGUGCAGGAGGCUAGGAAGGUCCUAGGCAGGCCGUUUCUUCCAGUCCCUCAAGGCCAGUCAGUAUACUUUAAUAUAUUAAAGCUGUUGUCUGAAGGGCUAGAAAAGUUAACGUCUGAAGAGAUCCUAUCUCUCUAGGCAAGUUCCUUUUGUGUUGCUAUUUUACUGCAUCGUGGACUCCAGAGUCAAAGGCAUAAAGUUCUAGUGGCUGAGGGUUGUCACUGAAUGUCAGUUUCAGAAGAACUGAGUCCCUGCUGCUAAUGACAGUAUUGUGUCCAGCCUAUAAGGUAACAACUUUCACAUUUAAAAAUUCGUUUUUAUUUUUGAAUUAGUUUUUUUUUUCCCUUCCUCCAAAGGAUCUCCUUAUACAGCCCUGGAUAACCUAGAACUGUCCAUAUAGACCAGGCUGGCUUCAAUCUUCAGGUUAUUACCCUCUCUCAGCCUCCUGGGGAGCUGGGAUUGCCAGCUUGUGCCACCCUACCCGCCCCCCAGCCUCAGCUGGUCCAUAGAACUUUAAAGCAGCAUCCAACCAAAGGCCUGGGUGUCCAAAUUAAAUUGGGCCACAGCCCGGUCUUUGAACUUUAUUGUCAUCGGGGUUUUAAGCUGCUUCAAUAAUCCUGUAGUAAAUACACAUAGUUAAAGUAUGUAUGUAAUCCUGUAGUAAAUACACAUAGUUAAAGUAUGUAAAGUAAAGAAUGUGUUGUGUCUCAGCAAUGAGUCAGCCUAGACUAGUACAAGGCAUCAAGUCAGGCUAAUGUCUUAAGGGGGCUGGCCCCCUUGACACAGAGGGUGAGGGAGGCCCCGAGACUAUCUGACAUACAUCUAAGUCUUCUCUUCAAACUCCAGACUCCCCCUCUUUUCUUAGCCCCCCCUAAGGAAUUCAAGUUUAUCAUUUCUCUCUCCCGUGGAAAGUAAUUCUCUUCCUUCCAAGAUGUUUCGGAUAACCUUACUUCUGAUCACAUCUACAGCCAGGCAUUACACUGGAUCCGUUACAUGGAUACCAGAAGAACAGAACAACCUUCCAAUACCAAUAGACCGGAUACUUAACCCGACUCGGGAAGUCAUGCUGAAUCUCUCUAUUGACGGCUCAUUUGGAAAUUGGAUUCUUAAGCUUCAUUCUUUUACUUUUGGAGACAGGUGCCCUGGCUGGACUCAGACAUAGCCUGGGCUAGCCUUGAAGUCUUGCUUCUCCGGCCUCUGCUAGGAAUUUAGGUGUAUGCUACUUCCCCUGCUUUCAUUCAUUAUCUUUAAUAAAGCCUGCCUUAACCUCUGUCUGGAUGGAAGGUUCUGGUUAUCUUCUCUGUCUUGAUAAUCUUGUAGGUGUCUGCUCCUACAUUUAGCAUAUGGCAUAUGUAAAAUUACUCAGCUUUUUUAUUCACUGAUAGAUUAUUAAUACGUAUGUAAAUAUGACAUAAUAUCUUAGCUUAUUUUAGUGGGAUCUGCAAA